rnacentral:misc_RNA from 1 species
GUAGGUGAACCUGCGGAAGGAUCAUUAUCACGUAUCCACGUAUCAACCAUCGCGAACUGUUUUACCUUUUGUCGAGAGUGAGGUAGUGGGACAUAGGCCUGCUCAUUUUAAAUGAUUUAAGAGCGCUCAGGGCUUAUGUCUCCAUGGAACCUAAUUGAACGGACCCCUAAGACGGGACUAUUCAAGGUGGUACAUACUCGUUCACUUCAAACUGUAUUUUCAAAUCAUUUGUUAAACAAUUUAAACUACU